UAUUAAAUUAAAUAAAUUGGAGCUAAUAGUUGUUCGUACUAUUGAACUUACUUGCUCAAAGGUGUAGUGAAGCCGAUGGGUCAGUCAAGCCUCUAGGAUGGACCAAUUAAUGGAGGGAGCUAGCAAGUUGUGUACCUCGAGCUGCCUAGUGCCAAACUGGCCGUGGAAGAUAGUAGUAUUAUAGAAGCAGAAAAUGACGGCGAAUUACCUGUACUCCCCUGGACUGUUUAUAAAUCCUGAAGCGGUACGUGAACCCCAUGAGUACGUCUGCAGCAAAACACACUAGAAGUGGAGAUGGCUGUUUGGAGGGUGCUCCUGAUGGCCCUGGCGCUCAUCUGCGCCCUGCAUGCUUCUUCUGUACACGGAGGAGAUAGAGGUGGCGGACCUCCACCUCCACCUCCUCGUCCCAACACAACGGAUGCCCCUCCUCCAAGUGCGAUCCUCCAGGUGCAACCUCACCAUAACAGGACGCAGCUAGGCUACCUAUCUACUGUUUCCGUAUCAAAAUAUAUUGAUGUGUGUUCUUUUUAAUUUAGAGAGACUGAAGCUGUAACAAGAAAUUGUUGUGAUUGGCUGAGAUAAAAAAUAAAUAAGUGAAGGUUAUAAAUAAUUGAGAUGAA